GUGUCAGGUCUUAUGCACCUCGGUCAAGUGUCUCACCAAGUCCCACGUUCCUCGGUCAUACUUGUUGCACCAAGUCCCACGCUGAUGUGCCUUGAUGACUGGUUUGGUGCGCCAAGGUCCAGGCGCCUCAAUCAGAGAAUGAUGCACCAAGUCCCAUGCACUAAGCCCAUAAGUUGAUGCACCAAGCUCAUAAGUUGGUGUGUGGGUCACACUCAGAAACUGGUGUAAUGUGCGUGUGGUUCCUCGGUCAGGCCUAUCUUGAUCACGAGCCAUAUUUUCACAGUCAGCAUUGGUUUUGUCUCGGUCAACCCUAAUUUUCCUUCGGUCAUAAGUGC
rnacentral:lncRNA from 1 species